GCUUAGAGUUUGAUCCUGGCUCAGGAUGAACGCUGGCGGCGUGCUUAACACAUGCAAGUCGAACGGUCUCUUCGGAGAUAGUGGCGGACGGGUGAGUAACGCAUGAGAAUCUGCCUUUAGGUUCGGGACAACAGUUGGAAACGACUGCUAAUACCGAAUGUGUCGCAAGAUGAAAGAUUUAUUGCCUAAAGAUGAGCUCGCGUCUGAUUAGCUAGUUGGUGGGGUAAAAGCGUACCAAGGCGACGAUCAGUAGCUGGUCUGAGAGGAUGAUCAGCCACACUGGGACUGAGACACGGCCCAGACUCCUACGGGAGGCAGCAGUGGGGAAUUUUCCGCAAUGGGCGAAAGCCUGACGGAGCAACGCCGCGUGAGGGAGGAAGGCUUUUGGGUUGUAAACCUCUUUUAUUAAGGAGGAUAAUGACGGUACUUGAUGAAUCAGCAUCGGCUAACUCCGUGCCAGCAGCCGCGGUAAUACGGAGGAUGCAAGCGUUAUCCGGAAUAAUUGGGCGUAAAGCGUUCGUAGGUGGUUUUGCAAGUCUGCUGUUAAAGCGUGUAGCUUAACUACAUAAUGGCGGUGGAAACU
rnacentral:rRNA from 1 species